rnacentral:lncRNA from 1 species
CCUAGUUCCUGGCGGUUUCAGGAGUAUCUGAUUAUGAACACACGCCCAGGACGGCGGCCCCCGUGCUUGAAUCAGCUGCAGAUUCCAAGUGGAACCAUCCAUCAUUUGACUUCUACCUGAACCCCUUUCCUGGUGGAAUUUCAUUCUCGCAGACAGUACACAGUUCAAAGUUCAUGGACUUGGAUUCUGAAGGUGCUUUGGGAUGAAAACAUCUCAGCCCACGGUACUGGGAAAUUUAAUAAUUUCAAGACGGGUUUGAAUGUUGCAAAGUAGGUCCACUCUGUUCUCUCUGGUUUGAGGAAGGGAACUUGGGAUUAUGCUGCUGCUUCACCCCAG